GUGAGGAAUAUUGGUCAAUGGGCGAGAGCCUGAACCAGCUAAGUCGCGUGAAGGAAGAAGGAUCUAUGGUUCGUAAACUUCUUUUGCAGGGGAAUAAAGUGCGGGACGUGUCCUGUUUUGUAUGUACCCUGAGAAUAAGGAUCGGCUAACUCCGUGCCAGCAGCCGCGGUAAUACGGAGGAUCCGAGCGUUAUCCGGAUUUAUUGGGUUUAAAGGGUGCGUAGGUGGUUUGAUAAGUCAGCGGUGAAAGUUUGUAGCUUAACUGUAAAAAUGCCGUUGAAACUGUCGGACUUGAGUGUAAAUGAGGUAGGCGGAAUGCGUGGUGUAGCGGUGAAAUGCAUAGAUAUCACGCAGAACUCCGAUUGCGAAGGCAGCUUACUAAGCUACAACUGACACUGAAGCACGAAAGCGUGGGGAUCAAACAGGAUUAGAAACCCCAGUAGUCC
rnacentral:rRNA from 1 species